UACAGAGGUCUCAAGCGUUGUUCGGAUUCAUUGGGCGUAAAGGGUGCGUAGGCGGCGGAGCAAGUCAGGUGUGAAAUCCCGGAGCUCAACUCCGGAACUGCAUUUGAUACUGCUUCGCUAGAGUACUGGAGAGGAGACUGGAAUUUACGGUGUAGCAGUGAAAUGCGUAGAUAUCGUAAGGAAGACCAGUGGCGAAGGCGGCGCACUGGACCAUAACUGACGCUGAGGCGCGAAAGCUAGGGGAGCAAACAGG
rnacentral:rRNA from 1 species